rnacentral:tRNA from 1 species
GCGCUCGUAGCUCAAUUGGAUAGAGUGCUUGGCUUCGAACCAAGAGGUUCCAGGUUCAAAUCCUGGCGGGCGCA